AUUGAACGCUGGCGGAAUGCUUUACACAUGCAAGUCGAACGGCAGCACGGGUGCUUGCACCUGGUGGCGAGUGGCGAACGGGUGAGUAAUGCAUCGGAACGUGCCUUUUAGUGGGGGAUAACUAUCCGAAAGGAUAGCUAAUACCGCAUACGUCCUACGGGAGAAAGCGGGCCUCUACACUAUGCUCGCACUCGAGGAUGAGCCCACGUCCGAUUAGCUAGUUGGUAGGGUAACGGCCUACCAAGGCCACGAUCGGUAGCUGGUCUGAGAGGAUGAUCAGCCACACUGGGACUGAGACACGGCCCAGACUCCUACGGGAGGCAGCAGUGGGGAAUAUUGGACAAUGGGCGCAAGCCUGAUCCAGCAAUGCCGCGUGUGUGAAGAAGGCCUGCGGGUUGUAAAGCACUUUCAGUGGGGAAGAACGGAUACGGGCCAAUACCCGCAUCACUGACGUUACCCACAGAAGAAGCACCGGCU
rnacentral:rRNA from 1 species